AUGGAGCACUCUGAAGGGCCUGAAGGAGAUGGCACCGAGCAUCUAUCUCAAGCAAUAAACACGCAUCCUUUCAAAUGCCGGGGAACAUACCGGCCCGACUACCGGAGGAAAUGGAGGCGGCUGUUGGCGCGGCUAGCUGCAGGCUUCUGGGGCAAGGCACUAGCAAAGCUGUCCAACGAACUGGUGGCGGCGUUUGUGGCCAGCUCCGAGCUCGGCCACGACUUCCAGACCAUGAGGCGCCGGCUGCUGCUCAUGCAAGGGCUACUCCAUGCAGCCCAGGACAGGGAUGUGAACAACGACCCUGGCCAGGACGAGGCAGAGGAUGCGCUGGAUGAGAUCCACUACUUGAUGAUCCAGGACCAGCUCGACGGCACCAGCGAGGCUGCCGUCCAGAUGGGCGAUGUCCUCCGCCGUCAUGCUCUCUAUGGAUGCCAUGCUACUCGCCACACCAUCGCCACGCCCGCCACCCGUGGACGAAGAACCACGGUGCUGGCCAGCCGUGUAGGCAUCGUAGCCGUCAUCCCCCCACUGACCCCGGGGCGCAGCCACAGUACCGUUGGACUGCGACGACGGAGACGGGCGAGCAACGACGUGGGGUGGAGGAGCCGGUCUAGGCAUCGGACCCGAAGGCACGGGUGGCCUUGGUGGCGCGGCCCCCCGGCCCGCAGCUGCGACCGCAGCACCGCCUUGAGCCACCGGCCGAGGACCGGAGCCCGGUCCGCCACGCCCGCCCGACGGCAAGGCCGGAGCCGGCGGCCUCCCCACGGGCGCCCCGUCAGCAUAGCGCGCCGCAUCAGGGCCACCCGACCCGCGUCCCGCAGCGAACCCCAGGAUGAUAUUGUAUCUGCUCAUCUCACUCCCUCAACGACGCGCUCACUGCGGGCUGCCACUUCCUGCACACAAAACGAGGCCACCAUCCCGUUCCUCACCGACGUGAUGCGCUCCACGGGGUUGUCAUGUGCUGUCACAUCCUCGAUCGAGGCAACCGCACCAUCUGCCUUUGGUGGUGCGCCCGCCCUGCUAGCUCUUCAACUCCUGCACGGCAUAUUGCCAUGUCACCGGCGUAAUUUGGGGCCGACACCAAGCUGCUACCAGUGCCUACUUAGGAACAUCUAUCUGAACCUGACUGAAAAUUCAAAUGGCACCAUAUUCAGUGUCCAGGAAUCCGGGGUCGUUGCUGCAAAGCGGUACGCCAGUACCUCAUCCGAUCCUGCGCCUCGGGUUCGCACAUCAGCUCUGCUUACUCUGCCUCCUACGCAAGACAACCUCACCAUCUUCGACCCCGGCACUGCCUGGGCCCAUAUCACCGGCGCAACUUGGGGCUGA
rnacentral:rRNA from 1 species